UUCAGUGUUUGGACUCUCAGUAGUGAUUAUUAAACCACACUGAACUGAGCUAAACUGAACUGAACUUAAACACUACAAACUGAACUACACUGUUCCUAUUUACUGUGACCUUCUAUGUGAAGCUGCUUUGACACAAUCUACAUUGUAUAAGCGCUAUACAAAUAAAGGGGAAUUGAAUUGAAUUGAAUCCUGUCUGUAAGCAGACUCGUCACCAUCCUGAAUGAGGCAGAUAAGUGUGGUGUCGUCUGCAAACUUCAGGAGUUUGACAGAGGAGUCCUUUGAAGUGCAGUCAUUCAUGUACAGGGAGAAGAGCAGUGGGGAGAGGACACACCCCUUUGGGGCGCCAGUGCUGAUUGUGUGGGUACUGGAUGAGAAUUUUGCAACCAACAUAUCAACUGCCUAGAGCUGUUUGCAGUGAUUCUCGUCUCCGGUGAUAGAGGGGCAACACGUGCUGGUCAGGAUGGACAGCACGGCAAUGGUAGCGUAUAUCAACCGCAUGGGGGGUAUCCGCUCUCGCCGCGUGUCUCAACUCGCUUGCCGUCUGCUUCUCUGGAGUCAUAUGCAGCUGAAAUCGCUGCGCGCCAUUCAUAUUUUGGGCAAGCUCAACCAUGCAGCCAAUGCACGCUCACGGCAGCCUCUACGUCCUGGAGAUAUGGGCAACAUUUUAUAUUGGCGUGCUUCAGGGAGGCCCAUGUUGACCUGUUUGCUUCUCCAGAGAAUGCUCAUUGCCAGUAGUUCUUUUCCCUGACCGAGACCUCCCUCGGCAUGGAGACACUGGCCCACAGCUGGCCUCGGAGCAUGCGCAAAUAUGCGUUUCCCCUAGUGAGCCUGCUCACUGGAGGACGAGGAGCAGGUCUUGCUAGUUGCGCCUCUCUGACCCAACCGGACCUGGAUACCAGAACUCACCCUCCUCACAAUGGCCCGUCCUUGGCAGAUCCCUUUGGGAGAGGACCUCCUCUCUAAGCAACAGGGCACCAUCUGGCACCCUCGCCCAGAUCUUUGUAACCUCCACAUGUGGUCCCUAGAUGCAGCAAGGAAGACUUGGGUAACGUACCGAUGGCAGUGGUUAAAACCAUCACUCAGGCUAGAGCUUUCUCUACGAGGCACGGCUACGCCCUGAAGUGGAGUCUAUUCACUGAAUGGUGCGCUUCUCGCCGAGAAGACCCCCAACUUGCCAGAUCAGCGUUGAGCUUUCUUUCCUUCAGGAUAAGUUGGAGCGCAGACUGUCGUCCCUCCACACUGAAAGUUUACGUGGCUACCAUUUCAGCUCACGAUAAAGCGAUGGUUGGCAUCUUGAAGACUCACGAGAGGGUCCUGUAUGUAAAAUAUACACUGAAGCGGUGUAGAAUCCCACACCAAAAAUCAUUUAAAUGAUUCACAAAAUUAAGGUUUUACAAAAGUAUUUAGGACAAUUUGUGUAAUUAACAAUUAGCCUAGGCCUGUAUAUGUAAGUAAAAAAAACUGCAGCUGAAAAAGUAAUCAUCAAAUGUGGACCAUAUUGACUUAGUCACCUCAAGUUUCCGUAUGUGCAAUUAACACCGAUGAGGAGUAUGGAAAGGCAACACCAGAAAUGCACACUGCUAAAGUCACAAUUUAACCCACAUAAGCAUUAAAAACAAAAACAGUAAAUGUACACUUGGAUUUUAACUCUAUAACACUACACCAGAAAUUCAACAUCUCACAAUUUGCUGUGCAACAAUCAGAGAAAGCCUGCGGCCCAUCUCUGUUUAUAGAUGUCUCUUUUUUUCCUCCAUCCACACUGACACAGAGCAGCAUCAUUUUAAAAUGAAAACAGCCUCUUGAGAGGUUAUCGAGACUUAACUCUUUGGGGUAGGGUGGACGUAAGGCGAAAUUGUAGCAAAAGUUGUGUGUUUUAAAACUAAAACAUAUUAGUGUAAACUGGACCCUAGGCACAAAAUGCUAAUGCUAAUUAUUUUUUUGAAGAACUGCUUAGUGAUUCAAAGAUUUUAAGCAGCAGGGAGCUGAGCCUUGAGUAUACUGAACUAAAACUGGACAAACCUUAUUAUAAUUAUUAUUAAAACUGGUUGCUUUUGUUCAUUUGUGUAAACACUUAGGAGAUGAGCAUGUAAAAAUGUCAACAAGCUGAAACAAAAAUAAAACCAAAACAUUUUUUCUUGCGAUUAUUACAUCUUUUUAAAGGGAUUUCCUAAAGUAGGCAUCAAGAAAAGUAUGUCUUAGGAACUGGUGGUGAAUUUAAGGUAUCCGUAUGGAAAACAUUUGAAUGAUACCCAGCCCUGCUGCUAAUAGAUUUACAGCUUUAAAAGUCAAUAUUUUCUGUGCAGUGUUUACAGAUUAGUUUGAACAUGAAAAUAUUGAUAUUUUUUCUUUUUGCAGGAUUUUCUGAAUGAUGGAUUUACAAAUUGGUGUCAAGACACUGAUCUACAUCUGAACACACAGAAAACACUGGAUAUGUGCAUUGACCUGUGGUAAAGGCAAGAAGUAGUUCCAGAAAGAAGCCCAUGUUCUGCUGCUCCACCCAGCAGGACUGGUUCUGCAGCGGGUCAGCAGGAUUUCACCUGUCUUUACCAUCAUCACAUCCCUCACUUCUGAAAUGGGAUGAUGAACUGCAAUUAGACACGGGUUAUCCAUGCCUGAGUGCAAGGAGAGGAUAUGCGAGCUCAUGAUGAUGGUGAAUUAUGAUCCACAAAACUUGGAACAAGACUGGGAGCACAACUAUUUGCAAAAAAAAAAAAAAUGCAAUAACAACAUUAUACUUCUCACCAAAUUUAAUUUCAUCUCACUGUGUGUGUGGUGAAGGUUUAUUUUUCUCUGAACACACAAGGUGGAUUUGGCCAAGUUUGUUCUGCUGGUUUUAGUUUAAAAAAGUAUCAGUCAAUGGGGCCCAACCUUCUGAAGGGUCAUUAUAUUAUUUUGAAGCAUCUGAAACUUUGCCUUCAUUGACUGAUAUUGUUUGAACAGAAAUUAUAGCACAAAAUUACAUCCUCAGUGACAUUUUUCCAGAUGCUCAUAUAAUGUAGAAAAGCUACAUCUGGCCUGUUUAAUUUCAGUUAUGUAAUGAAAGCAAUAAAAUGAUCUUGCUUCAUA